UUAAGCAUUAUUUUAUUUUUGUCUUCCUUAAACAACUUCCUAGAAAAAGCCUGUCUAUACUUAUUCCUUCCUCAUUCUUCCUUAUUCAUUUCUCUCUUCCCCUAAUUUCUCAAAACUUUUCAACCUGGCUUCCAACUUCAUCACUUUUCAUUGAAAUGUCUCUUUCCAAUGUCUCUCAAUUGCUGAAUACAAUACUUUUCUCAGAUCUUAUCCUUCCUGUCCUCCCCACAACACUUGACUCUGUGGACCAUCUUCUCCUGAAUACUAUUUCUUCCCUUCAUUUGGAACUGCUUUCUUUUAUUCUUCUCCUACUAGGCUGACUAUUCCUUCUCAAUAUCUUUGGUCUCCAUCCCUUAAAUGUGAGUGGAUCAUCCCAAGGUCUAAAGGAUGAUACUCAAGUUUGCUUCCUGGACCUACUUUUCUCAUUCUAUACCCUCUCCUUUGGUAGACUCAUCAACUCCCUUGAGUUCAGUUAUCAUCUCUAUUCAGAUGCUUCUAAUAUCUUUAUCACUGACCUAAGUCUCUUUCCUGAGCGAUAGAUUUGAAUCAAUCCAUCAACAAUCACUUGUUAAGCAUUUACUAUAUGCCAGGCAUUGUGGUAAGCCCUGAGGAUAAAAAGAAAAGGAAAGAAACCAUGAUCUUAAGAAAUUACUUUCUAAUGUGGGAGAUAACAGGCAAAUAACAAUGAGCAUCAGGGAAGAGGUGCUCAGUAAAGAAGAGUCUGUCCAGGGAUGCAAUAUCUUUUGGGGAGUUUUCCAUUAACCCACAAAGAUGGAAAAAGCAAUGAUGUGAAGCAAUCCAAAAUAAAGGAGUUACAGCACAAACUACAUGAACUUCAUGAAUCCGGAGCUGCAGUACAAGCUGGACCAUUAGACUUUUCUCUGCAUGACCUGAAUCCAGGAGAU
rnacentral:lncRNA from 1 species